GACGAACCGUCCGAACGUUAUUCGGAAUCACUGGGCUUAAAGGGUGCGUAGGCGGCGCGGAAAGUUGAGUGUGAAAUCCCUCGGCUCAACCGAGGAACUGCGCCCAAAACUACCGUGCUCGAGGGAGAUAGAGGAGAGCGGAACUUAGGGUGGAGCGGUGAAAUGCGUUGAUAUCCUAAGGAACACCGGUAGCGAAAGCGGCUCACUGGCCCGGUACUGACGCUGAGGUGCGAAAGCGUGGGGAGCAAACAGG
rnacentral:rRNA from 1 species